ACAGCAGCAGCCACGGUAAUACGUAGGUGGCAAGCGUUGUCCGGAAUUAUUGGGCGUAAAGGGCUCGCGGGCGGUUUCUUAAGUCUGAUGUGAAAGCCCCCGGCUCAACCGGGGAGGGUCAUUGGAAACUGGGAAACUUGAGUGCAGAAGAGGAGAGUGGAAUUCCACGUGUAGCGGUGAAAUGCGUAGAGAUGUGGAGGAACACCAGUGGCGAAGGCGACUCUCUGGUCUGUAACUGACGCUGAGGAGCGAAAGCGUGGGGAGCGAACAGGAUUAGAUACCCCAGUAGUCCCUGUCUCUUAUAC
rnacentral:rRNA from 1 species